rnacentral:lncRNA from 1 species
AAUAUAACUAUGAACAUUUUAUUAAACGAGAUUUGCCGAAAUGACUAUCACCAACGGACUACAUCUUUACUGACAUAUUGUUCAACGAGCUACAAAACAUCAUAUAUAUAGAGAACUAACCUAACCCUAAUAAGCAAGAAAACGAAACCCUAACACUAACGGGUUAUGCCCAGAAAACCAAACAUUCAAAUAAAUCAAAAUACUAAUAUUUUUCAACACCCCCCGUCAAACUUAUGGCGGUAUACGAUAUGGGUUUGCAAACAAGCAGAUGCGGACUGGCUCUGUUAGGCGACAGAUAGGCAGGUUCCGCAACGCGAACAGAUAGACAGACAGGCUCCGCAAUGCGGACAGGUAGACAGACAGGCUCCGCAAUGCGGACAGGUAGACAGGCAGAUAGGCAGGCUCUGCAAUACGGGCAGACAGAGCGAGCAAUCAAGCAAGGAAACGAACAAUCUAGGCUUCAAUCAACAAGGCCCAACUAAAAGCCUUCAAACAAAUCAUAAUAGCCCAACGGAUUGUGGGCUCCAUACUUUUUUCUUUUUUCCUUUUUCCUGUUUUCUUUUUCUAUUUUUUCCUUUCUUUUCCUUCUUCUUUCUUCGGUUCCAGUAGCAAAAUAGGCGAAAAACAUGUGCAAACCAACAUUCUGAACCAAGACUCCGAGGUGUGGUUGCAGCUUUCAGGCGAGGAAGCAAGUGACAGUUGCCAGAUUUCAGGCAAUGGGUGGAGGCGUGACUGGGUGGCUUGGCAGCGGGGUGGAUUCGAACGGCAGAUGUGCUGGGUGACGAUGCAGCGGAAGAUGUGCAGCAGGUCAGGGAACAAAGUAUCUGGAGUUGGGGUGGCAGCGGCAAUCGAAAACUGGUGUGGGUAUGGUUGUGGAUCUAGGAUCUAGUAGCGAUUCAGAACAAACCGGAGAGGAACCGACAAGGAACCGAGACAUACAAACAGAGACCAACAAACUGACAUGAACAGAGCAGAAGCAGAUUAAACCCGACGGUUCAAUCCUACUCUGAUAGCAAGUUGAAAUAAACGGACGAACAAACGAAAUAUAAUUAUGAACAUUUUAUUAAACGAGAUUCGCCGAAACGACUAUCACAAACUGACUACAUCUUUACUGACAUAUUGUUCAACGAGCAACAAAACAUCAUAUAUA